rfam:Firmicutes bacterium M10-2 genomic scaffold acPFH-supercont1.12, whole genome shotgun sequence.
UAACAUCCAUACAGGUGGUGCAUGGUUGUCGUCAGCUCGUGUCGUGAGAUGUUCAGUUAAGUCUGGCAACGAGCGCAACCCUCGUGAUGUGUUACCAAUAUCGAGUUAGGGACUCACAUCAGACUGCCGGUGAGAAACCGGAGGAAGGCGGGGAUGACGUCAAAUCAUCAUGCCCCUUAUGGCCUGGGCUACACACGUACUACAAUGGCGGCGACAGAGGGCAGCGAACCAGAGAUGGGGAGCGAAUCCCAAAAAAGCCGUCCCAGUUCGGAUUGAAGUCUGCAACCCGACUUCAUGAAGUUGGAAUCGCUAGUAAUCGCGGAUCAGCAUGCCGCGGUGAAUACGUUCUCGGGCCUUGUACACACCGCCCGUCAAACCAUGGGAGUGGGCAAUGCCCGAAGCCGGUGGCGCAACCUGAAAAGGAGCGAGCCGUCGAAGGCAGGGCCGAUGACUGGGGUUAAGUCGUAACAAGGUAUCCCUACGGGAACGUGGGGAUGGAUCACCUCCUUU